GGGCCCGCACAAGCGGUGGAGUAUGUGGUUUAAUUCGAUGCAACGCGAAGAACCUUACCAGGGUUUGACAUCCUGCGAAUCUCUUGGAAACGAGAGAGUGCCUUCGGGAACGCAGUGACAGGUGGUGCAUGGCUGUCGUCAGCUCGUGUCGUGAGAUGUUGGGUUAAGUCCCGCAACGAGCGCAACCCACGUCUUUAGUUGCCAGCAUUUAGUUGGGCACUCUAGAGAGACCGCCGGUGAUAAACCGGAGGAAGGUGUGGAUGACGUCAAGUCAUCAUGCCCCUUACAUCCUGGGCUACACACGUACUACAAUGCUACGGACAAAGAGCAGCCACUUCGCAAGAAGGAGCG
rnacentral:rRNA from 1 species